rnacentral:rRNA from 1 species
AUUGAACGCUGGCGGCAUGCUUUACACAUGCAAGUCGAACGGUAACAGGCCGCAAGGUGCUGACGAGUGGCGAACGGGUGAGUUAUGCAUCGGAACGUGCCCAGUCGUGGGGGAUAACGCAGCGAAAGCUGCGCUAAUACCGCAUACGAUCUAUGGAUGAAAGCGGGGGACCGUAAGGCCUCGCGCGAUUGGAGCGGCCGAUGUCAGAUUAGGUAGUUGGUGAGGUAAAGGCUCACCAAGCCGACGAUCUGUAGCUGGUCUGAGAGGACGACCAGCCACACUGGGACUGAGACACGGCCCAGACUCCUACGGGAGGCAGCAGUGGGGAAUUUUGGACAAUGGGGGCAACCCUGAUCCAGCAAUGCCGCGUGCAGGAAGAAGGCCUUCGGGUUGUAAACUGCUUUUGUACGGAACGAAACGGCUCUGGUUAAUACCUGGGGCUAAUGACGGUACCGUAAGAAUAAGCACCGGCUAACUACGUGCCAGCCGCCGCCGUAACAC